rnacentral:rRNA from 1 species
GACGAACGCUGGCGGCGUGCUUAACACAUGCAAGUCGAACGGAAAGGCCCUGCUUUUGUGGGGUGCUCGAGUGGCGAACGGGUGAGUAACACGUGAGUAACCUGCCCUUGACUUUGGGAUAACUUCAGGAAACUGGGGCUAAUACCGGAUAGGAGCUCCUGCUGCAUGGUGGGGGUUGGAAAGUUUCGGCGGUUGGGGAUGGACUCGCGGCUUAUCAGCUUGUUGGUGGGGUAGUGGCUUACCAAGGCUUUGACGGGUAGCCGGCCUGAGAGGGUGACCGGUCACAUUGGGACUGAGAUACGGCCCAGACUCCUACGGGAGGCAGCAGUGGGGAAUAUGGCACAAUGGGCGGAAGCCUGAUGCAGCAACGCCGCGUGCGGGAGGACGGCCUUCGGGUUGUAACCGCUUUCGCCUGUGACGAAGCGUGAGUGACGGUAAUGGGUAAAGAAGCACCGGCUAACUACGUG